rnacentral:lncRNA from 1 species
CGGUACCUGGCCGGGACAGCUGACCUCACGUCAGCACACUGGGCUCCCGUACCCAGGGACGCGGAGGGGAGACAACGCAAUCGCUUUAUUUUGGUGGAGGUGACGGAGUUUUUCUCUUCAGCAUGACCAUGUCAAGCCACCAUCCCAUACGGUCUCAGUCACCCUGAUACAGAGAAAAUAUAACUCCCGACCUGUAAGAUGUCACCCGUGCCGAAUGUACGGUCUCACAACAUCGAGAAGUCAGUCGAGGGCCAAGGGAGCAAGUCACGAGAGUCUUACUGGAAAUAAAGGAAGGAGAAGGAUAGCCCCGGAUUUCCAGGAGGGGCCGCACGAGCAGGUGGCCACAAGACCCUUUGUCAGGAUACCCUGACACCAAGUCACAACGUGGGGACAGUGUGGCCCGACUGCAGUCACCCUGCAGGAUCGCAAGUCUGGCUGCUUAGCUAACACUGAUCCACUGGGGAAACGGGUCACGCAGCAGGGUGCACGAAAAGAGGAGAACUCCUGGGAGGGGGCAUCCUGGAGCACCGGUCACCCACCUAUGCGGCUGAUGCCUGCCCAGGCCGCUGGACCCGUGGUGCUGAUUACAGGACAAUCUCGAGAUAUCCCUUAUCCCCGCUCGGUUGGACAGAGAUGCAGAACCUACAGACAGGGAACGCCACAGUUCGACUUAUUCCGUGGGUGUGGAAGUUGUUGGAUAAACGCCCGGUCAGGUGCCCCAGAGACCACAUCUCCUGCAGGGAUGUAGACAGAGCAAACGGGACUCGGAGGGAGCGGAAGGCCUUCUAAAUCUAGGGUUCCACUGCUCACGAGCCAUGGCAAUAAUAACCCAGCGCCCCCCAGAGCCCGGGACACAACGAGCCCCGGGGGGCGGGUGCAGCUCAAGCAGCAGUGACAGUUGACAAACGCUGCCAAGGGCAGACACCGGGGCAGCAUGCUCAGCACUGUGUUGGGACGUCGCACACAUUCACAGCACAGUCAUUGAGUGAAUGUCCGCUUGGCUCCACGUGUGGACCCAGAUGUAUUCGUGAGCACGGCUCAGGGCCGGAAGCUGCUCCUGGCUCCCUGCGGCCCAGCUGGCAACUCUCGAGCAGCGCUCGAGCACACCCCUGGCAAAGGCAGCUCUUUCUGACUACCAAAGUGAAUGGCUUCUCUUAACCCUGUUCUCGCUCAUUCUUACGGCAGGUAUCAGGUGGCUGCCUGGCUUCGGG